GGGUUGUGAGGUUAAGCGACUAAGCGUACACGGUGGAUGCCCUGGCAGUCAGAGGCGAUGAAGGACGUGCUAAUCUGCGAUAAGCGUCGGUAAGGUGAUAUGAACCGUUAUAACCGGCGAUUUCCGAAUGGGGAAACCCAGUGUGAUUCGACACACUAUCAUUAACUGAAUCCAUAGGUUAAUGAGGCGAACCGGGGGAACUGAAACAUCUAAGUACCCCGAGGAAAAGAAAUCAACCGAGAUUCCCCCAGUAGCGGCGAGCGAACGGGGAGCAGCCCAGAGCCUGAAUCAGUGUGUGUGUUAGUGGAAGCGUCUGGAAAGGCGCGCGAUACAGGGUGACAGCCCCGUACACAAAAAUGCACAUGCUGUGAGCUCGAUGAGUAGGGCGGGACACGUGGUAUCCUGUCUGAAUAUGGGGGGACCAUCCUCCAAGGCUAAAUACUCCUGACUGACCGAUAGUGAACCAGUACCGUGAGGGAAAGGCGAAAAGAACCCCGGCGAGGGGAGUG
rnacentral:rRNA from 1 species